UUAAAUUGAUGUUGCACUUUGGGAGUUUCAGGCAAGUUUAGUAGUUGAGUGAAACGAUUCAGAAGCUGACACUCUUUGAACACAUUUUUUACCCAAUGAAC
rnacentral:snoRNA from 1 species